UGACCGCUGGCGGCGUGCCUAAUACAUGCAAGUCGAGCGAACGGACGCGAAGCUUGCUUCUCUGAUGUUAGCGGCGGACGGGUGAGUAACACGUGGAUAACCUACCUAUAAGACUGGGAUAACUUCGGGAAACCGUAGCUAAUACCGGAUAAUAUUUUGAACCGCAUGGUUCAAAAGUGAAAGACGGUCUUGCUGUCACUUAUAGAUGGAUCCGCGCUGCAUUAGCUAGUUGGUAAGGUAACGGCUUACCAAGGCAACGAUGCAUAGCCGACCUGAGAGGGUGAUCGGCCACACUGGAACUGAGACACGGUCCAGACUCCUACGGGAGGCAGCAGUAGGGAAUCUUCCGCAAUGGGCGAAAGCCUGACGGAGCAACGCCGCGUGAGUGAUGAAGGUCUUCGGAUCGUAAAACUCUGUUAUUAGGGAAGAACAUAUGUGUAAGUAACUGUGCACAUCUUGACGGUACCUAAUCAGAAAGCCACGGCUAACUACGUG
rnacentral:rRNA from 1 species